rnacentral:lncRNA from 1 species
CGUGUAACUCCGAUCUCCCCUUUCCCCUCUUCCGCCACAAACCCUCCGACGAAACCCUAAUCCCCCACCUCCGAUCGCCGCCGAUCGCCCUCGCGCGGAUCUCCGGCGCCGUCGAUCUCCUCGCCCUCGACUCCCACCUCGACGCCUCCCUCGCCCUCCUCGACGCCUGCAACGUCGCCUCCGCCGCGAUCGACCUCCUCCGCCGCCGCCUCCUCCCCCUCCGCCUCCUCGCCGCCUCCUCCGACUCCUCGCGCCGCGCCCGCGACGCGAUCGCCGAGUGGGCGGCGGCGCCGCGUGGACGGAUCUCGGCCGUCCGAGGGGUGAUCGCGGCGGGGAGGUCGUUGGCGGCGACGGAGGAGGUGGCGGCGGUGGACGCCGCCGUGAGGAAGUUAACGGCGGCGGUGGAUGACGGAGCGGA